GACGAACGCUGGCGGCGUGCUUAACACAUGCAAGUCGAACGGAAAGGCCCUGCUUUUGUGGGGUGCUCGAGUGGCGAACGGGUGAGUAACACGUGAGUAACCUGCCCUUGACUUUGGGAUAACUUCAGGAAACUGGGGCUAAUACCGGAUAGGAGCUCCUGCUGCAUGGGGGGGGUAGGAAAGUUUCGGCGGUUGGGGAUGGACUCGCGGUUUAUCAGCUUGUUGGGGGGGUAGUGGCUUACCAAGGCUUUGACGGGUAGCCGGCCUGGGAGGGUGGCCGGCCACAUUGGGACUGAGAUACGGCCCAGCCUCCUACGGGAGGCAGCAGUGGGGAGUAUUGCACAUUGAGCGGGAGCCUGUUGCAGCAACGCCGCGUGCGGGAUAACGGCCUUCGGGUUGUAAACCGCUUUCGCCUGUGACGAAGCGUGAGUGACGGUAAUGGGUAAAGAAGCACCGGCUAACUACGUG
rnacentral:rRNA from 1 species